UGUGAGUUGUUCAGGGACAGUCAUGUUGGAAUUGCAAGUGAAGAAUUCUCUGUGAAAAAAUAUUUCUGAUGGACUGCCUUUGUGCUGACAGCCAUUCAUUGGUUCUACAGAGUUAAAAUUGGCAAUGUCUAUAAUCUAACAGUAUUUUUAAACCAGCAGCUCUGGGUUCAGGGUGCAGCAGAGCCUGCAGUGCAGCGUGAAGUGAUGCAGAAGUGUGGAUGGCACCGGGAGCUGCUGCGCCUGCUCCUGCUGCUAUUCCUGGCACGCAGGGACUGAGCAGCGUCUGAUGGGCCAAAUGGAAGAACUGAAGAUAGUCCACAGUGAAUUCCUGGAGGAGAUGGGAAAAGAUCUGUGGACUGCAGGCCCCCAGUCUGUGAUUUACAGUCUCUCCUUUACAGGUGACCCCAGCACUCCUUUCCUAUCAAAAUACAGUUCAUUCUAGUGCUGCUUUUAGUCUCAUGGAUAUCUAACUUUAAUUUAAUUUUCUACUUUUCCUGCCAGCUCAGAUUCCCAAAAUGUCCCCAACCUUUCUGCGUGAAGUUCUGAAUUCUGAAGUUGAAUUUGGGUUCAGCAGUUUAGACUCAAAUUGAACAGCCUCAACAGGUAUUAUUUUCACUGGCUUUUUCAGAAAAAAAAAAAGAAAGAGUUCAUUGAGAGGCAC
rnacentral:lncRNA from 1 species